CACUUGAAAAUGUCUUCUUGAAAUUAUCUCGUUUUCUAACCUCUAAAUUAUUAAAUUUAUUCUAUUUCACAUAAAUUAAUAUAAAUUUUUAGUAUUAAAAAAUAUAAAUUUUAUGCGUAUUUCACAUGUUUACAUUUCAAAAGUAUUAUCAGUCUUAUCAAGAUAUUAUGAUAAUAAAGUGCGCGAUUUGCUGAUAAUGCCAAAGAGGCAUUUACAAAUAGAUCCAAUUGUUAAAAAAUUAAAAUUAACGAAUGAUAAAGCAAAUCACGAAUUAAAAGUAAAUGAAAAAAAAAUGGUUAAUAAUUUAGAAAUUGAUUGUUCCACUGGUGAUUGUACAAAAGAUAUUAAAGUUGAAUAUCUCAAUACUCCUGUCAAAUCAGAAAAUGAUAAGAAAUUGUACAGAGUCAUUCGAUUAGAAAAUGGAUUAACCGCUUUACUUAUUGCUGAUACACAUAAUUCAACAGAGCUUAAAAAUGGAGACUGUGAUGUUGGUGCUGAGAAGUCAUCUGCAAGUGAUGAUUCAGAAGAAAGUGAGGAAGAUGAGGAAGUAAGUGAUGAAAGUGAUGAAAGUGACGAGGAUGACAAUGAAGAGUCUGAUAAUGAAUGCGAUGAUGAUAUCGAAUUUUCAAGCUCAGCUAAACGUUCCAGUAAAGAAGAAAAAAAGGCUGCGUGUGCUUUGUGUGUUGGCGUUGGAAGUUUUAGUGAUCCACCUGAAAUUCAAGGAUUGGCACAUUUUCUCGAACACAUGGUAUUUAUGGGCUCUGAAAAAUAUCCCGAGGAAAAUGAUUUCGAUUCGUUUAUAAAAAAACGUGGUGGUUCAGAUAAUGCCUCAACGGAAUGUGAACAAACAACAUUUCACUUUGAAAUUCAAGAGAAACAUUUACCUCAAGCAUUAGAUCGUUUCGCGCAAUUUUUUAUUAAUCCACUUAUGAGACGAGAUGCUAUUACUCGUGAACGUGAAGUCGUUGAAAGUGAAUUUCAAAUGGCCUUACCUUCUGAUUUAUAUCGGAAGGAGCAAUUAUUUUGCAGUUUUGCUAAACCUAAUCAUCCCGCAACAAAAUUCCCUUGGGGAAAUUUAACGACAUUACGAGACUCAAUUGAGGACGAUAAAUUAUAUGAGGAACUUCAUAAAUUCAGAGAACGACAUUAUAGCGCACAUAGAAUGACGUUAGCAGUUCAGGCUAGACUUUCGUUAGAUGAACUAGAACAAUUAGUGAAAGAUUGUUUCUCCGAUGUGCCAAGCAAUGGCUUGCCACCUGAUAAUUUUACCAAAUUUAAAGGUGCUGAUUCUUUUGAUACGUCCGAUUUUCGAAAAAUGUAUAAAAUGAAACCGUUUAAAGACAUUUGUCAGAUUGAAUUGACGUGGUCAAUGCCAACGUUACAUCAUUUAUAUAAAAGUAAACCGCAUCAAUACGUUUCGUGGAUAAUAGGUCAUGAAGGUAAAGGAUCAUUGAUAAAUUAUCUUAGGAAAAAAAUGUGGUGUCUGGAUAUAUUCAGCGGAAAUGCAGAAGGAGGUUUUGAACACAGUUCCAUGUACGCUCUCUUCAGUUUGUGUUUAACUCUCACAGACGAGGGUCACAGAAAUUUGAAACAUGUUCUCGAGGCUGUAUUUUCAUACAUUAAUAUGAUACGGAAAAAUGGUCCCGAUCAAAGGAUUUACAAUGAAAUUUUUCUCAUUGAAAAAACUAACUUCAAAUUCAUGGAUGAGGAGGACCCAGUUGACUAUGUUGAAAGUCUUUGUGAAAAUAUGCAUUUUUAUGCGCCCGAAGAUUAUAUAUCGGGUAGCGAUUUAUAUUUUGAAUAUAAUCCAAGUGGAAUUCAGGACUGUAUGAAUAUGUUAACGGCUGAUAAUGUGAAUAUUAUAAUUUUUGAUAAAAAAUUCAACGAAGAGGAAUUAAAGAACAUUGAACCGUGGUUUAAAACAAAAUAUUCGAGAAAUUCAAUUCCAGAUGAAUGGAUAGAAACGUGGAAAAUUAUUGAACCACUACCUGAAUUUCAUUUACCGGAACCGAAUAUUUUUAUAACCACUGAUUUCAAAUUAAUGACAUUGCCUGAUAAUGUGCCGAAAUAUCCGACAAAAAUUUACUCUGAUGAGAUUUUUGAAGUUUGGUAUCGACCUGAUCCUAAAUUUCGAUUACCGGAAGCAAUGAUGUAUUUUUAUUUAAUUUCACCGAGCUCAAUUGCUACACCAGAAGGUUGCGUAAUGAUGGAUUUAUUUAUUGCGAUAUUGAAGCAAAUUUUGGUGGAGAAAAUAUAUGCAGCAACGGCAGCAGAACUUCAACACUCUAUUUAUACAUGUGAUAAAGGCGUUGUAUUAAAAUUUAAUGGAUAUAAUCAAAAAUUACCGCUCUUGAUGAAUACUGUCAUUGAAUGUAUGGCUGAAAGUCCGAAUUUAAUAUCAAAGGAAUUAUUCGAUGUCAUGAAACAGGAACAACUAAAAGCUUAUUAUAAUAAUUUCCUCAAGCCUAGUAAAUUAGUCAAAGAUAUUCGAUUGUGUAUUCUUCGUUUGCGUCAUUUUUCAUCGACUGAUAAAUAUGCUGCUAUUGCAGCUAUUGAUUAUGAUCAAUUUUUGAAUUAUGUGAAACAUUUCACGAAUCAUCUUUUUAUUCAGUGUUUGGUGCAAGGGAAUAUGACAAUGGAGGAUGUGAUUGAAAAUGUGACAAAUUGUAAGAAAAUAUUAAAAUGUGGAUCACUCUUGCCAAAUACAAUGCCAGAAAUCAGAGUUACGCAAAUUCCUCUUGGAAUUCAAUGUUGUAGAGUUAAAAAUUUUAAUAGUUCCGAUGCAAAUUCGGUGAUUACAAAUUAUUAUCAGUCAGAAACUUCGAGCAUUAAACUCACGGCUAUUAUUGAAUUAUUAAUGAUGAUUAUGGAAGAACCUCUUUUCAAUCAGCUGAGAACUUUGGAACAGCUUGGAUACAAUAUUAAUUGCCUAAUAAGAGAUACAUUUGGAAUUUUAGGAUACAGUAUAACUGUGUACACGCAAGCAACAAAAUUCACUACAGAUUAUUGUGACAAUAGAAUAGAGGAAUUUAUGAAAUUAUUCAAAGAUUUGUUAGCAAAAAUGACAGACGAUGAAUUCAGUAAUGUGAAGGAAGCCCUCAUAAAAAUGAAACAAACUGUCGAUAUUGAUUUGACGGAAGAAAUUGACAAGAAUUGGGCUGAAAUAACAACGGGUGAAUAUUUAUUUGAUCGUCUUGAGCGUGAAAUAACAGCGAUUGAUGGCAUUAGUUUGGAUGAUUUGAGAAAAUGGGUCGAUGCACAUACAAAAGACGGUAGCAAUUUUCGAAAACUUAGUAUUCAAAUUCAAGGAUCGGAUGAGAAAAACGAUGAUGCUGAUGUUCCCUGUGAUCAUGAAUCAAGAGACGAGAUAACUCACAAUCAGGAGAACAAUUGUGAGAACAAUUUUUUAAAUAUUAUAUUUUGAUGCUUUUUUUUUUUUGUCAUACACAAUUUGCAAAAAAAAAAAAAUUUUUUUGUUUUCGAUACAAUUUUAUCGAUUGUUUUAAUUUUUAUUAUGUGAACGAGGAAAAAUGAAAUUUCCUUUAAAUUAUGUGACGAGUAAUUCAUCGAACGAGGAAUGUUGUAUUUUAAAUAUUGAAGAGUUUAAAAAGGAACUAAAGGUUUAUCCUAUUAAAAAGACUGCCUUAUGAUGGCAUUUUUAAAUUAAUAAUAUCUUAAAACCACUUGUGCAUUUAUCGAGCAAGAUGUAAAAUAAAUUCAUUUAUAUUAUAGAGA